AAGACUAUACUUUCAGGGAUCAUUUCUAUAGUUCGUUACUAGAGAAGUUUCUCUGAACGUAUAGAGCACCCGAAACCACGAGGAGGAGAUGCAGCAUUCUCUCCUGAGCGCGAAGCCGGCUCUCAGUGUUGCUUCAGCAACUGCCGCCUGCUAUUGAUGAUCGUUCUUCUCUCUCUCGGGGGAGAAGAGGGAGAGGAUGCAUUCUGAGUGGC
rfam:Myotis lucifugus cont2.58286, whole genome shotgun sequence.